GCGGCCGCCGCGCAACGUCCACGCCCCGCCUGUCCAGCGGCCGGGAGGCGGGACCAGCCGCCGCGACGGAGGCCUCCCAUUGCUGUCAUGGAGGGCCCCAUCCUUCACUCCUCGUGAAGCAUCCUCCACCCUCACUCUCAGAACAGUUCUAUUUAACGAAGAAUUGGGGUUCCAGAGACAGAAUUUGUUAACUCAAAUUCCAUUCAUUUAUCCCUCCUUUCAACCAAAGAUUAUCCCGAAGGGAACAGUUUCAGAAAAAGGUGAGAAGACUUGUGUGGACUGAUCCACAGGGAAGUGAGCAGAACCAGGAGAACGAUCUAAACAGUAACAACCUCAGCACUGUUUGUAAAGAAGACUUCAAAUGAAUUUGCCCGAGUGUCUGUGUUAGGGUUGUGA